UCCUGGAUAAGUGAAAUGAUUCUUAACUGUAAGAAAAUUAUUCGUAAGCUGUAAGAAAAUUCUUACUGGAAUUUGAAGCCUAUUUUACAAGCUUUUCUCUGUUUUACUUGUUACAUGACUCUGGACUAGUUAUUUAAACUCACUUUAAUACAGUUUACUUAUUUCCAAAAUAGAUAAACUAAUAUCUUGUAACAUUGAUAGAGAAACAAUUUGAGAUACUAAUCUUGAUAUAAUAUCUGGUAUAUGGUAGAUAUUUGAUAUGGACUGAAUUCUGUCUUUCCCAGAUUCAUAUAUUGAAGCCCUCCCUCCUGAUGUGACUGUAUUUGGAGAUAAAUCGUUUAAGAAGUUGGUCAGAUCAAACAGAGCGGCAAUCUGAUAGAACUGGGUUCCUUGAAGAAGAAACAUCUCUCUCUCUCUCUCUCCCCUCUUUCCUCUGCCCCCUCCAUGAUUGAGGAAAGGCUGUGAGGACACAUUAAGAAGAUAGCUAUCUAGAUAUAAGCCAGGGAGAGAGGCCUCAUAAGAAAUCAAGAAAUCAACUCUGACACCUUGAUCUUGGCUUUCCUCCAAGAACUGUGAGAAAAAUAAAUAUUUGUUGUUUUACCACCCUGUCCAGUGUAUCUUGUUAUGGAAACCCAUGAAAAUUAGUACAUUGCUCAUUAUAUUUUAACUGAUCAUAACAAUAACUGGUGGUGGUGGUGAUGAUGAUGAUGAUGAUGAUGAUGAUGAUCCUAGAAGUCCAGGUCUAUGGAUACUUACUAAUAGGGAAUUGUAAAAUCAGGUUUGAAUUGGCACAGUUUUUA
rnacentral:lncRNA from 1 species